GUGAGGAAUAUUGCGCAAUGGAGGCAACUCUGACGCAGCCAUGCCGCGUGCAGGAAGAAGGCGCUACGCGUUGUAAACUGCUUUUAACCGGGAAGAAACCCCAGGACGUGUCCUGGGUUGACGGUACCGGAGGAAUAAGCACCGGCUAACUUCGUGCCAGCAGCCGCGGUAAUACGAAGGGUGCAAGCGUUAUCCGUAUUCAUUGGGUUUAAAGGGUGCGUAGGCGGAGCGUUAAGUCAGUGAGGAAAUCCUGCAGCUUAACUGUAGACUUGCCAUUGAUACUGGCGCUCUUGAGUGCGCUUGAAGUGGGCGGAAUGUGCCGUGUAGCGGUGAAAUGCUUAGAUAUGGCACAGAACACCAAUUGCGAAGGCAGCUCACUAAGGCGAUACUGACGCUGAGGCACGAAAGCGUGGGGAUCGAACAGGAUUAGAUACCCUAGUAGUCC
rnacentral:rRNA from 1 species